GACGUAGGGCGCGAGCGUUGUCCGGAUUUAUUGGGCGUAAAGAGCUCGUAGGCGGCUUGUCGCGUCAACUGUGAAAACCCGUGGCUCAACCAUGUGGUCUGCAGUCGAUACGGGCAGGCUAGAAUUCGGUAGGGGAGACUGGAAUUCCUGGUGUAGCGGUGAAAUGCGCAGAUAUCAGGAGGAACACCGGUGGCGAAGGCGGGUCUCUGGGCCGAUACUGACGCUGAGGAGCGAAAGCGUGGGGAGCGAACAGG
rnacentral:rRNA from 1 species